UGGGGAAUUUUGGACAAUGGGCGAAAGCCUGAUCCAGCAAUGCCGCGUGUGUGAAGAAGGCCUUCGGGUUGUAAAGCACUUUUGUCCGGAAAGAAAUCCUUGGCUCUAAUACAGUCGGGGGAUGACGGUACCGGAAGAAUAAGCACCGGCUAACUACGUGCCAGCAGCCGCGGUAAUACGUAGGGUGCAAGCGUUAUCGGAAUUACUGGGCGUAAAGCGUGCGCAGGCGGUUUGCUAAGACCGAUGUGAAAUCCCCGGGCUCAACCUGGGAACUGCAUUGGUGACUGGCAGGCUAGAGUAUGGCAGAGGGGGGUAGAAUUCCACGUGUAGCAGUGAAAUGCGUAGAGAUGUGGAGGAAUACCGAUGGCGAAGGCAGCCCCCUGGGCCAAUACUGACGCUCAUGCACGAAAGCGUGGGGAGCAAACAGGAUUAGAUACCCUGGUAGUCCACGCCCUAAACGAUGUCAACUAGUUGUUGGGGGAUUCAUUUCCUUAGUAACGUAGCUAACGCGUGAAGUUGACCGCCU
rnacentral:rRNA from 1 species